rnacentral:rRNA from 1 species
ACGGAAGGCAGCAGUGGGGAAUAUUGGGCAAUGGGGGAAACCCUGACCCAGCAACGCCGCGUGAAGGAAGAAGGCUUUCGGGUUGUAAACUUCUUUUGUCAGGGACGAAGGACGUGACGGUACCUGACGAAUAAGCAACGGCUAACUACGCGCCAGCAGCCGCGGUAAUACGUAGGUUGCAAGCGUUGUCCGUAUUUACUGGGUGUAAAGGGCGUGUAGGCGGAGCUGCAAGUCAGAUGUGAAAUCCCGGGGCUCAACCCCGGAACUGCAUUUGAAACUGUAGCCCUUGAGUAUCGGAGAGGCAAGCGGAAUUCCUAGUGUAGCGGUGAAAUGCGUAGAUAUUAGGAGGAACACCAGUGGCGAAGGCGGCUUGCUGGACGACAACUGACGCUGAGGCGCGAAAGCGCGGGGAGCAAGCAGGAUUAGAUACCCUGGUA